AGAUUGAACGCUAGCGGGAUGCUUUACACAUGCAAGUCGAACGGCAGCGCGGACUUCGGUCUGGCGGCGAGUGGCGAGCGGGUGAGUAAUAUAUCGGAACGUGCCCAGUAGCGGGGGAUAACUACGCGAAAGCGUGGCUAAUACCGCAUACGCCCUACGGGGGAAAGGGGGGAUCGCAAGACCUCUCACUAUUGGAGCGGCCGAUAUCAGAUUAGCUAGUUGGUGAGGUAAAGGCUCACCAAGGCGACGAUCUGUAGCUGGUUUGAGAGGACGACCAGCCACACUGGGACUGAGACACGGCCCCAGACUCCUACGGGAGGCAGCAGUGGGAAUUUGGACAAUGGGGGAAACCCUGAUCCAGCCA
rnacentral:rRNA from 1 species